UACGUAGGUGGCAAGCGUUGUCCGGAUUUACUGGGCGUAAAGAGCGCGCAGGCGGUCGUUCAAGUCGCGUGUGAAAGCCCCCGGCUCAACUGGGGAGGGUCACGCGAUACUGAUCGACUCGAAGGCAGGAGAGGGUAGUGGAAUUCCCGGUGUAGUGGGUGAAAUGCGUAGAUAUCGGGGAGGAACACCAGUGGCGAAGGCGACUACCUGGCCUGUUCUUGACGCUGAGGCGCGAAACUAGGGGAGCAAACGGGG
rnacentral:rRNA from 1 species